rnacentral:RNase_P_RNA from 1 species
GAAUUCUGGCAAUCGCUCCGGAAACCAGUCCGGAGAGGAAAGUCCAUGCUCGCACGGACCUGAGAUGGCCGUAGUGAUCGCGCUCAGUGAAACAAUAAACUGAGGCAGCUGCUUGCAGCUGACGGCGGGUGGAACGCCUAAGUCUUCGGAUAUGGCCGAAACACCCUGAAAAGUGCCACAGUGACGGAGCUGUGCAGGAAACUGUACAGGUGGAACGAGGUAAACCCCGUGAGCGAGAAACCCAAAUUAUGGUAGGGGCACUUUUCCAGAGGAAUUGAACCGAGGAAGAGGCAAGCUUAGUCUUGCAGAUAGAUGAUUGCUGUCCAAAAGUACGAGGCGCAAGCUGUUUGAGUACAUGGAAACAAAACAUGGCUUAUAGAU